rnacentral:tRNA from 1 species
AAAUAAGAAGUAAAUUUUACAUUUAGUUUCGACCUAAAAAUUUGAUAUCUUUAGUAUCCUUAUUUA